rnacentral:rRNA from 1 species
CCUACGGGUGGCAGCAGUGAGGAAUAUUGGUCAAUGGGCGAGAGCCUGAACCAGCCAAGUCGCGUGAAGGAUGACGGCCCUACGGGUUGUAAACUUCUUUUGUCAGGGAGCAAUUGGGUCCACGCGUGGGCUUAGCGAGAGUACCUGAAGAAAAAGCAUCGGCUAACUCCGUGCCAGCAGCCGCGGUAAUACGGAGGAUGCGAGCGUUAUCCGGAUUUAUUUGGUUUAAAGGGUGCGUAGGCGGAAUAUCAAGUCAGCGGUAAAAAUUCGGGGCUCAACCCCGUCGUGCCGUUGAAACUGAUGUUCUUGAGUGGGCGAGAAGAAUGCGGAAUGCGAGGUGUAGCGGUGAAAUGCAUAGAUAUCACGAAGAACUCCGAUGGCGAAGGCAGCAUAACGGCGCCCAACUGACGCUGAAGAGCGAAAGCGUGGGUAGCGAACAGGAUUAGAUACCCUUGUAGUC